UCCAUAUUCUCACUUUUUCUAACGAAUUAAUUAGCAAAUCAAUGAUUUUGUGACAAUACAACAGAAAUGGGAAAACUCUACUAAAUGCAAAUCGAGUAUGUCCAUAUGCAUCGCAGCUGACAAAGAUAAAUGCACGAAACUCUCGAGUUCUUGACAUGAUUUGCAAGCCAGUUGGAUUUUUCUAAAUGCAGCUUGAAGAUAUUUCAUUUUCAGAGUAGCUAGAUUGUAGAGAAGUCAAACAAAUCGGGUAAGUUCACCCAACCAUAAUCACACCGAUCCCUGAUCUUCUGUGCUGCCAUUAAUGCUAUUUCAACAGAAGGUGUUAUUCUGACAACCUCUUUCUCCACUGAAGUUCUGAACUUUGCGUCGACCUGAAACUUGUGAGCAUAAUUUUAGAGCUUUGCAGAUUCAAAUUUCGGUUGGGUAAUGUUGUAUAUUAAGAACCAACAUUCUAUGUUUGUACUGUUUGUCAAAAAUUAUGGCAUAAUAUAAAUCAAUUUCAAAGUUA